UUAAAAAUUAAAAAUAAAAUUAUAAAAAUAUAAAAUACUGUAUAUUAAUUCAAUGGGCAGAAAAUCAUGGACUCCGGAGAAUGUCAUACAUGUAAACCAGGAUGGUAUGGUAAAAACUGUGAGUCAACAUGUACAGUUAUCAACUGUGGGCGUAACUGUGACAAGGAUACGGGACAGUGUAGUGAAUGUAAUCGAGGAUGGUUUGGCACUAACUGUCAACAUCUUUGUAACAACGGCUGCUCAAGCAAAUGUCAUAAAGAUACCGGGAUUUGUACAGAUGUGUGUCAAUGUGAACAUUGUGUCCAGGGUAGAUAUGGUACUGACUGUCAACUGGGAUGUAAUUAUGGAUGUAUAAACAUUAACUGUAGCAAAGAUACUGGUGCUUGUACUGAAGGAUGUAAUCUGGGAAAAUAUUCACCAAUCUGUGGCUCAACAUGUGAAGUAAGGAAUUGUGUAGGUAACUGUGAUAGGAUUACAGGAGACUGUGACGCUUGUCAAUCUGGAUGGUAUGGUACCAAUUGUGAAUCGAAAUGUUCUCUAACCUGUAUCGGAGAAUGUGCUAAAUCUGAUGGAACCUGUUUUAUCUGUAAACCCGGUUGGUUUGGUGCUAAAUGUGGUUCAAAAUGUUCUAUUACUUGUAGUGGAGAAUGUAAUAUAACAACAGGAAGAUGUUCAUAUACUGAAUGUAAACAAGAGAUGGUUAAAGAUGAAGAUAUGAGUCCAGUAGUAGCUGGUAUUAUUGGUGCUAUAUUUGGAAUAGUGGUUACAGUGAUAAUUGGAGUUUUAUCAUUUUUUUUCUACAUUAAAAGGAACCAACUCCCUGUACCAACAACACAGGCAAAUUCGCCGACCGAACUGAAUACAUAUGAUACUCCCAACCACGUCUCUGUUGGACAAAGUGAAGACAUUAAUCUAUAUACAAAUUUAGACCUCUAGCUGCAUGGUUCGCCAACUACAAUUUGAGAGGAGUAUAAAAUAGAUCAGCAUAUUGUUAAACUCAUUCUAAUUAAAUCCAAGCAAAAUGUUUGCAUAAACUCGAUUUAGGACCAGAUGAAAAUCGUGAUAAUUGUCAAUUAAAUGCUAUAGUUUUACUAACAGUUCUGAAUUGGCAUAAAAUUAAAUAUUGGCAAAAAUAGGUAAUGGCUUCAACCCUGGCCAAGAAUAGUGUAUUGGUUAAAGAUUUGUUCAUUUCUUAAAAUGGCAUAUUUUAGA